CGAACGCUGGCGGCGUGCCUAAUACAUGCAAGUAGAACGCUGAAGAGAGGAGCUUGCUCUUCUUGGAUGAGUUGCGAACGGGUGAGUAACGCGUAGGUAACCUGCCUUGUAGCGGGGGAUAACUAUUGGAAACGAUAGCUAAUACCGCAUAACAAUGGAUGAAAGCGGGGGACCUUCGGGCCUCGCGCUAUAGGGUUGGCCGAUGGCUGAUUAGCUAGUUGGUGGGGUAAAGGC
rnacentral:rRNA from 1 species